GGGUCUUGCUGCCGCGAGGCGGCUCCCCUUAAAAUCAUCGGUUUGGCCCGCAUCAUGCGGCUUGCACCUUUGGCGUUGUAUUCUCCUCGCCUUCGAUCGGUCUUGCACGCUUCCGCGCCUCACCUCGACUUGCCCUUUGGGUGGCGGUCAAUUCUUGACAAUCUGGCCUCAAAUCAGGUAGGACUACCCGCUGAACUUAG
rnacentral:misc_RNA from 1 species